rnacentral:sRNA from 1 species
CCGACCUGGAGGAAGGGCCUAUUCGCGGGC